UUGAAAGGGAAACGAUUGAAGUCAGUCGUACCAGCGGGAAUCAACCUUUCGAGUGNGGNUUUUGGAGUUUUGAAGAGUGUCAAAACCUUUGAGAUUUCAAAAUUUUCGCUCCUUUGGUGUACUUUCUCGUGGGUAGGUUAACAUCGAUUUCGAUCAUCAUAAAAGGAUUGGAGGAAUGUAGCUUCGAUCUUGUAUUGAAGUGUUAUAGCCUUUGGUAAAUGUGAUGAUUGGGAUCGAGGAUUGCAACGAAUACCCUUUUGGGCUAUCCGCCUGAUCUCCGAUACGUGGCCUUGGCAUCGAAAGCUUGCUUAUGGUAUCAAGGUAUUACGGUCAAAAGGUUAGAACGGAUUACAUUCGUUAAGGAUGUUGACGUA
rnacentral:rRNA from 1 species